UGAGGCAAGACCCUCCACCAGCAAAAAAAUUAUGACUCACUGAAGGCCAGGUGAUCAUUAGCAUUAAAGUACUUUUCAAUUAAGAUGGAUGAUCCACUGGGCAAAAUUCAACCUGAAGGAGACGGAUAAAGGAAAAGAAUAAUUCUUGAGCUCAACUAUUCUGCAAGGGCAGAGCUAGCUGCUUUGCAUAUUUUAAUAUCAGCAAUUACCCAGUAAAGCAGGUAUUCUGAUUUCCUUUUUACAGAUGGAGAAUCUCUGACUCAUGUGGGCUUAGUAACUCAUCCAAGGACUCCUGCCUAGGAAGAGACAGUAACAUGGUUAUCCUGAAGUUUGGCAAGUUCCAAACAAGAGAAAAAGUCUCCAAGAGAAAAUGGGACUUUGGGUAGAAGAGAAGAACUCCCACUUACAAAGAGGAGAGAACAUCCAUGUGGUGAUGGCGGCAACACGUAGAGCCGUCUAAUCUGGUGCUGCCUGGGCAAACCAAUGCAAAAGUCAGAGGCACAAAAAGCCACUGCUCCUCAAGCCUGCAGCGCAUCACAGUCGCCUGGGCUGCCUGGUAAAAACAUGGUAUUCUCAGGGCCCUCCGAGACCUAUUGAACCAGCAUCUCUAGAGGUGAGAUUUUGGCAUUUCCCUUUUAAGAAGCACCCAUGGUGAAUUUUAACUAGUGAGAUGGGCACCAGUCUGCACAUAUAGUUUUAGGAACCACAUACUAGAAGGUUUGAGUCUGUCUCCUUUUUAGGAGCUGCUUGUCAAAGAUCUUUCUCUGAGGAGGAUAAGCUACAUUAUUCCGUCAGAAUUUAAUCAAACAUCAGGGACAGAGAUAGGGAAUGUGUGUUUCUCUCCCUUAUUUACUUUUUCCUCAUCAACAAACUGCUGAUAAGAAAAAAAAUCUCACAUAAAAUGUAUUGUUUUAUUGGCCUGUGCCACCAAUCAAUGGGAUUUUCUUUCCCUACUAUAUUCCGAUUCUUAUUAAUAAAAUGCAUUCUGCACUCCGACUGACAGAGGGCGCUGUUUUCU